rnacentral:rRNA from 1 species
AACGAACGCUGGCGGCAGGCUUAACACAUGCAAGUCGAACGCAUCCUUCGGGGUGAGUGGCAGACGGGUGAGUAACGCGUGGGAACGUGCCCUUCAGUUCGGGAUAACCCAGGGAAACUUGGGCUAAUACCGGAUACGUGCGAGAGCAGAAAGAUUUAUCGCUGAAGGAUCGGCCCGCGUCUGAUUAGCUAGUUGUAGGGGUACUGGCCCACAAAGGCGACGAUCAGUAGCUGGUCUGAGAGGAUGAUCAGCCACAUUGGGACUGAGACACGGCCCGAACUCCUACGGGAGGCAGCAGUGGGGAAUAUUGGAUGAUGGGCGCAAGCCUGAGCCAGCCAUGCCGCGUGAGUGAUGAAGGCCUUAGGGUUGUAAAGCUCUUUCGUCCGGGACGAUAAUGACGGUACCGGAAGAAGAAGCCCCGGCUAACUUCGUGCCAGCCGCCGCGGUAA